GACGAACGCUGGCGGCGUGCUUAACACAUGCAAGUCGAGCGGAAAGGCCCUUUCGGGGGUACUCGAGCGGCGAACGGGUGAGUAACACGUGAGUAAUCUGCCCCUGGCUUUGGGAUAGCCACCGGAAACGGUGAUUAAUACCGGAUACGACCACUUCUCGCAUGGGAUGGUGGUGGAAAGUUUUUCGGCCAGGGAUGUGCUCGCGGCCUAUCAGCUUGAUGGUGAGGUAAUGGCUCACCAUGGCUUCGACGGGUAGCCGGCCUGAGAGGGUGACCGGUCACACUGGGACUGAGACACGGCCGAGACUCCUACGGGAGGAAGCAGUGGGGAAUAUUGGACAAUGGGCGGAAGCCUGAUCCAGCAACGCCGCGUGAGGGAUGACGGCCUUCGGGUUGUAAACCUCUUUCAGCAGGGACGAAGCGCAAGUGACGGUACCUGCAGAAGAAGCACCGGCCAACUACGUGCCAGCCGCCGCGGUAA
rnacentral:rRNA from 1 species